rnacentral:rRNA from 1 species
CAUGUAGGCGGUUGUUUAAGUCUGAUGUGAAAGCCCUGGGCUCAACCCAGGAAGUGCAUUGGAUACUGGACAACUUGAGUACGGGAGAGGAAAGUGGAAUUUCGAGUGUAGGGGUGAAAUCCGUAAAUAUUCGAAGGAACACCAGUGGCGAAGGCGGCUUUCUGGACCGAUACUGACGCUGAGAUGCGAAAGCGUGGGGAGCAAACA